GACGAACGCUGGCGGCGUGCUUAACACAUGCAAGUCGAACGGAAAGGCCCUGCUUUUGUGGGGUGCUCGAGUGGCGAACGGGUGAGUAACAAGUGAGUAACCUGCCCUUGACUUUGGGAUAACUUCAGGAAACUGGGGCUAAUACCGGAUAGGAGCUCCUGCUGCAUGGUGGGGGUUGGAAAGUUUCGGCGGUUGGGGAUGGACUCGCGGCUUAUCAGCUUGUUGGUGGGGUAGUGGCUUACCAAGGCUUUGACGGGUAGCCGGCCUGAGAGGGUGACCGGCCACAUUGGGACUGGGAUACGGCCCAGACUCCUACGGGAGGCAGCAGUGGGGAAUAUUGCACAAUGGGCGGAAGCCUGAUGCAGCAACGCCGCGGGCGGGAUGACGGCCUUCGGUUUGUAAACCGCUUUCGCCUGUGACGAAGCGUGAGUGACGGUAAUGGGUAAAGAAGCACCGGCUAACUACGUG
rnacentral:rRNA from 1 species